AGGCCAUGGUGGGGACAUUUUAAAGUCAAGUCUUUAAAUCAUUCCCAACUUUCAUAAAAAUUUUCAUGUUCAUUCUGCGAAAAAUCAGAAAUUUCUCUUCUUAAAGCAU